rnacentral:rRNA from 1 species
AGCGAACGCUGGCGGCAGGCUUAACACAUGCAAGUCGAGCGGGCACCUUUCGGGGUGUCAGCGGCGGACGGGUGAGUAACGCGUGGGAACGUGCCCUCUGGUUCGGAAUAACUCAGGGAAACUUGAGCUAAUUCCGGAUACGCCCUUUUGGGGAAAGGCUUGCUGCCGGAGGAUCGGCCCGCGUCUGAUUAGCUAGUUGGUGAGGUAACGGCUCACCAAGGCGACGAUCAGUAGCUGGUCUGAGAGGAUGAUCAGCCACACUGGGACUGAGACACGGCCCAGACUCCUACGGGAGGCAGCAGUGGGGAAUAUUGGACAAUGGGCGCAAGCCUGAUCCAGCCAUGCCGCGUGAGUGAUGAAGGCCUUGGGGUUGUAAAGCUCUUUUAUCCGGGACGAUAAUGACGGUACCGGAGGAAUAAGCCCCGGCUAACUUCGUG